AUCAUUUCGCUAAAAUCAUCCUCUGUCAAAUCUCUCCGGCGAACAAAAAUGGCGGAGUGUCCGAUGGAUAUCAUCAACGAUUUGUUCCUCCGUCUCGCAGCAACUACGCUAGUACGGUGUCGCGCCCUCUCGAAGCCAUGCCUCUCUCUGAUCGACAGUCUAGACUUCGUCUCGUCUAACCUCAGAAGAUGCAGAAGAGUAAUAAAAGGGUUUCAACUUUCAAAUGGUUAUGUUUCAAUCUUAAGGGAGGUUUUCUGUCCAAGGGAUUCAAGCUGAAGUUGUGAACAAAGCAGGGGAAACCUCUGAGCUCAAACAUUAGAUCAAGGUGCAGUAGCAGUAGCAGUCCCAGGGGGCAGGGGGAAAGGAAAUGGCAAAAUCCUAAACCCAUGUGAGGUCUUAGUUAGUACUCAUUAGCUUAACCUAUGUACGUAGUAGGUCGUAAGAGAAGAUAGUGUUCUUCUAUAUAUAAGUGACUGGAAUCUAAAUAUGUAAACU